GGAAGCUUUCUCUGAACAUGCUAGGAAGUCAAGAGGGAAGAAUCUGUCCAGCUUAUUGUUUUGCUGAUUGACCAGCUGUUACAUUCAAUUGAUCCUAAGACAGGUUGGAUGUGUACAGGACGCUGGCUUUCAAGAAGACAAUGCUGCGCUGCCUCAGACACGAGGAAAAAUAUUCUCAACAUUCUGUAUGCUGUGGGAAGCAGGCAACUCCUGCAAGUUCAUUAGAUGCCCCUAAUUGCUAAGAACACAUUCAGGAAGUAUGGUAAA